rnacentral:rRNA from 1 species
UAGGGAAUAUUGCAAAAUGGGCGAAAGCCCGAUGCAGCAACGCCGCGUGGGCGAUGAAGGCCUUCGGGUCGUAAAGCCCUUUUUGAGGGGAUGAGGAAGGACGGUACCGGUGGAAUAAGCCUCGGCUAACUACGUGCCAGCAGCCGCGGUAAAACGGAGGAGGCGAGCGUUAUCCGGAUUUACUGGGGGUAAAGCGCGUGCAGGCGGUUGGCUAAGUUGGGUGUGAAAGCUCCUGGCUCAACUGGGGGAGGUCGCUCAAGACUGGCCGACUGGAGAGCGGGAAGGGAAGGUGGAAUUCCGGGUGUAGUGGUGAAAUGCGUAGAUAUCCGGAGGAACACCAGUGGCGAAGGCGGCCUUCUGGACUGCAUCUGACGCUCAGACGAGAAAGCUAGGGGAGCAAACG